rnacentral:tRNA from 1 species
GCCAGGGUGGCUCAGUGGAUAGAGCAUCGGCCGGUGGAAGGAAGGGUCCCAGGUUCGAUUCCCGGUCAGGGCA